AGGUGGUCAGGUAGAGAAUACCAAGGCGCUUGAGAGAACUCGGGUGAAGGAACUAGGCAAAAUGGUGCCGUAACUUCGGGAGAAGGCACGCUGAUGUGUAGGUGAAGCCCCUGCGGGUGGAGCUGAAAUCAGUCGAAGAUACCAGCUGGCUGCAACUGUUUAUUAAAAACACAGCACUGUGCAAACACGAAAGUGGACGUAUACGGUGUGACG
rnacentral:rRNA from 1 species